UUUUAAUGUUAAUGCUGGUCAGCUGUGCCUGAAUUCCAAAGGGAGGAAGGGAUAAUGAAGCAUGUCUUACCCCCACUUCCUACUGUGGCUUGAAUUCAUUUUUCAGAUUAACUUUGGAAUGCCCUUGGCCAAGGGGAUGGCCCUUCAGUUGGUUGAGGCACUUUGAAUUUUAUUUUUGGUUUAUAGAACAAUGGAUUUGGGGGGUAGACCCAAGAAUCUGUAUGAUUUUUUUUUCUUUUUAUCUUUACAAGUUUUUAUAGUGAAAUAAGGCUUUGCAGCACAAUAACUAAAUAUUGUUGUUCAAUACUGUUGAAUAUUGAGCUCAUGAACCAAAUAUUGUUUGGAGAGGAAGCACUACUGUUUUCUUUUAUCUGUUCCUUUAGCUCUUCAAGAACCAGGACCAGAAGACCCACUUCCAUGCCCCCACUCCUAGAGUUGGGGGAUGGUCCCCCUUUCAAUUAGGAUGAGAUUUAUGCUUCUACUACUUGUAAAAAGUGGCAUGAGACAAGGAAAAGAAGUCCACUACUUAAUUAUGGCCUAGGACAUUCUGCGAAGAUGGAGAGGAAAAUGAAAGAGCAGAGAGUCAAAGGUACAGCUCCCAAAGCAGUCAAUUGUCUGGCAAUAAAGCGUGAUGGGGCAUGUAACAAUUAUGUAACAGCUGCAGAGACAUCACGGUUAUAAUUUAGUACCUUCUACCACCCUAGGAUAUAAUAAAAGUAAGAUUUAAAUAUAUAUCAAAAAGCUGACAGCACCAGAGCAGGCCUUCUUCAGCAUCAUGACACUGAUCAGCCUUGAAAGGAAAUGAGAUGCUGAAGAGAGGGGACAGGAGGAGUAACAGGAGGAGAAAGAAGAGAAGGAAAAGGAAGAGGAGGAAAGAGAAGAGGAAGCAGCAGAGAGGAAAGGGGAGAAGAAGAGGAGGAAGAAAAAGAGGAGGGGAAGGAGAAAAGGAAAAAGAAAACUCAUUUGCUCUCCUGCAGGCAUGACGCAACAGCUAACACCAGCCAGCCUGCUCUGGACUGAAUUCAGGCUGGGAACGUGGGGGUUUCCUGGGCCUGCAGCCCGCGGGGCACGUUCGACCCACAUUCUGCUGUGUGUGUGUGCCGUGCGACACGUCACCCUCCCAUCUCUGCACAUGCCCUUGAAUAUUUCUGUGCUUCUGAUUCAUCUGGUCCACAGUUUACACCUUGAGCCUCUCAUCUUGUGUCCAGCGAGACGCGUACCGUCCUCGCAUCAGAGCAGGGGCUUCUGGCUCCUGUGCCCCCGGCCCCGCGGCCUCUCCGCCCCUCCCCGCCGCGU
rnacentral:lncRNA from 1 species